rnacentral:rRNA from 1 species
GACGGAAGGUGCAAGCGUUGCUCGGAAUCACUGGGCGUAAAGGGUGCGUAGGCGGCUUGGUAGGUCUGGUGUGAAAGCCCCGGGCUCAGCCCGGGAAGGGCACUAGAAACUGCCAAGCUAGAGUGCCGGAGGGGAGAGUGGAAUUCCUGGUGUAGCGGUGGAAUGCGCAGAUAUCAGGAGGAACACCGAUGGCGAAGGCAGCUCGCUGGGACGGUACUGACGCUGAGGCGCGAAAGCGUGGGGAGCGAACAGG